rnacentral:lncRNA from 1 species
AGAACCUUGAUUUUAGACCUGCCGCUCUAUCCCUCUAUGCCAGGUAUUUCACACGCAAAACGGAAUGGUGGCUGCCACCUGCCUAUCCUGUAUCCGAGGUUAGGUGCCCUGGAAAAUGAAAUAAGAGCGAUGUAAAUACUGUGUUCAAAGAGCUAUACACAACCAUGAAGUGGCCCGGAAGCUGGGUAUGGGCUUCAGAUGCGCAUGCAGAGGCUGGGCUCACCAGGAUCUCCAUCAAUAUCAAUGGUGUAAGACCACAUUAUUCAUGGCUGCUGCUGAAAUGAGCACACUACCACAUCUUCCUAUGAAAGACCAUGUGAUGAUCUGGCAGUGGAAAUACAUCAAUCGCAUUGUUUAUGGAAAUAGUAUUCUGUUGAACCACAGUUAAUUACUUUUGGAGUUCUGCAUUGAAAGAUACACAGCAUUUAAUACUAGCAUUUGGAAAAUAAAAAUUCAUUAUCUGCCUUUCAAUUAAUGUUGAUAAUGGAUAAGGAUGCUUUGUUUUCUUUCUCUAUAUUAAAUAUGUUUGAUGAACCCUUAGGAAAAUGUGAAAAUUAAGCACCUCAGAACUUUUAAGCAAUUUCACACACACACAGACAAUCCAAAAAUAAUGCAAGUGCAAGGUUAUGAUAUCACACUCUGAGAAAGAAAAGUAUGUGCAUAUACAUACAUACAUAAGAUUAUGUUGAAUGUUACUGAUGUGAAGAAUGCAACGCACACAAUUCACAAAUAGUCAUAAAAUAUACAACAACAUUUAUUACAAAUUCUAUACAAGGAACUGAUUC